rnacentral:tRNA from 1 species
GCUCUAAUAGUUUAAAAAAAACAUUGGUCUUGUAAACCAAAAUUAAGAAUCCUUUUAGAACU